rnacentral:rRNA from 1 species
ACGAACGCUUGCGGCAUGCCUAACCCCUGCCAGUCGAACGCGACCUUCGGGUCUAGUGGCGCACGGGUGCGUAACGCGUGGGAACCUGCCCUUAGGUUCGGAAUAACUCCCCGAAAGGGGUGCUAAUACCGGAUAAUGUCUUCGGACCAAAGAUUUAUCGCCUUUGGAUGGGCCCGCGUUGGAUUAGCUAGUUGGUAGGGUAAAAGCCUACCAAGGCGACGAUCCAUAGCUGGUCUGAGAGGAUGAUCAGCCACACUGGGACUGAGACACGGCCCAGACUCCUACGGGAGGCAGCAGUGGGGAAUAUUGGACAAUGGGCGAAAGCCUGAUCCAGCAAUGCCGCGUGAGUGAUGAAGGCCUUAGGGUUGUAAAGCUCUUUUACCCGGGAUGAUAAUGACAGUACCGGGAGAAUAAGCUCCGGCUAACUCCGUG